rnacentral:rRNA from 1 species
AGCAGCCGCGGUAAUUCCAGCUCCAAUAGCGUAUAUUAAAGUUGCUGCAGUUAAAAAGCUCGUAGUUGAAUUUCGGGACUAAUAUGUCGGUCGUGCCUCGGUACGUACUGGUUUAUUGGUUUCUCCUUUCUGAAGAACCAUGAUGUCAUUUAUUUGGUGUCGUGGGGAAUCAGGACUGUUACUUUGAAAAAAUUAGAGUGUUUAAAGCAGGCUCACGCUUGAAUACAUUAGCAUGGAAUAAUGAAAUAGGACGUUUGAUUCUAUUUUGUUGGUUUCUAGGAUCGACGUAAUGAUUAAUAGGGAUAGUUGGGGGCAUUAGUAUUCAAUUGUCAGAGGUGAAAUUCUUGGAUUUAUUGAAGACUAACUACUGCGAAAGCAUUUGCCAAGGAUGUUUUCAUUAAUCAAGAACGAAAGUUAGGGGAUCGAAGACGAUCAGAUACCGUCGUAGUCUUAACCAUAAACUAUGCCGACUAGGGAUCGGAUGAUGUUAAUUUUUUAAUGACUC